UAAACAUUUAAAUGCUAAGACAAUGUUGUUUUGUUUUCAUCACAUUGGGUAGUAGUAGGAUAAUGAAUGCUCUGAUGAUGAUGAAGGUGUUAAAGGUGUGUUUUUGUCUUCAGAAGUAAUCCAGCAUGCAACAUGAAUGUUGGAUUGAUUUAAGAAAUUGUAUUAUUAGUUUUGGUUUUUCGCCUUUUUUGAUUUAAAUAUAGACAAAAAUGAUAAACUAAAUUCCAUCCUGCCAAGUCACUCGACCAGGCAGAGAUGAAAAAUAGCGGUUGAAGGUCUCCCUCAUUGCGACCGCGUCCCUGGAAGCGUUGUUGCUGCCGACCCUCAGACAAAUCACCUCAGACAAAUGCAAAGCCGUUGGGUUGCUCUCCCUAUAAUUGGUGUUCUUCUUGGCGAUGGUCGGCCCAAUAAAUGUUAACACUCCUUCAAACUGCUGCCGGUUGAGUCUGAAAUAGACCUUGAAGCGAUCCUCGUCCAGGCGGAGCUCUUGACACAGCCAGUGGUAUUCCCCGUACUGCCCCCUACCACGAUUAAUACUGUGGACCCACACUCUCCUCCGGGCAACCACGACAGGCGCAGGGGGAUCGUCCGCAACCUCCGCUGCCACGGCAAGAAGCGCUAUUAAUCUUCGAUUCAUUUCGCAAAUUGUAGGAGUAACCAGAGAGGACGUUCAGGUGUCAGAUGCCAUAUGAUGGAGCCAACAGAUAGAAGCUGUGAAUCUAUGGAUACAAGCGAUGACGCGUAUUUAAUGACGUAAACGAAAAACGCUUCGUGCGUCUUUUUUUGAGCGGCGCGCACAAACGCGUUGAAAGCAGUUCACGGAGCGCUCCGUCUUUUAAAAACGCUUUUGGUGGACAAAAGCGUUUUUAAAAGACGGAGCGCCGGUCUGCAAUGCAUUCUCUAUGGCAGGACGCGCAAGCAGCGCGCCUUUUAAAAAGCCGGCCGGAGCGUUUAAACGCUCCACGCGCCUCGCGCUUUUAGACGCGCGCCCCCGUUGAAAAAAGUUGAACUUUUGAAGAAAAGCGCUUCACGUCAUCGGCGCUUUUUUUGAACGACCAAUCAAAAUCGAGGAUGAGGCAAGGCUAAAAGUAUAAACCGAACUCAAACUGAAACAAACUGAAACAUGUCGGACGAAAGCUUGAUAACAGCUGUGAGCGAGUGUCCGGUCCUGUACGACCUCACGUUGAAGGCCUACCACGACCUAACAAAACGCAACCAGGCCUGGCGAGACAUUUCAUCUAUGCUGGGCGUUACAGGUGGUGGCUCAAAGUGAAGAGGAGAUAUCUCCUCCCUCUCCCAGCCUAUCAGAGUCCGCUGUGGACACCUCUCCUCCAUCUCCUCCCACUACCUCUACGGUGACUCUGGUCACACCGCUGCGUCCUGUACCUCCACCACCACGCAGGAGACAGCUGGAGCAGCCGCUGUCUGCGUUCCAGAAAUCAAUCCUGUCCUCCAUCCAGAAAGAAAAGGAGAAUACAAUGGCUGUGGACGAGGAUGAGCAUUUUAUGCUCAGCCUCGUCCCAUCAUUGAGGAGGCUGUCGAACCAAAAAAGGGCCCAGGCGCGCAUGAGGAUGCAGCAGGUCCUUUAUGAUGUGGAGUUUGGAGAGUAAUUAAUUUGUAAUCAUUUUCUAUUUAGAUUUAGUUUUAAGAUUUAACAUUUUUUUAAAUGUGUAAAUAAAAUUUGUAAUCAGUUUCUAGUUAGAUUUAGUACAAGCUAUAAGAAAUGUUUCAAAUGUGUACAUAAUAUCUUGGAAUCAUUUUCUAUUUAGAUUUAGU